GAUGAACGCUAGCGGCAGGCCUAAUACAUGCAAGACGAACGGUAAGUUGAGUAGCAAUACUUAGCCAAGAGUGUCGUACGGGUGCGUAACACGUAUGCAACCUACCCUAUACAGGAGGAUAGCCUAGGGAAACCUGGAUUAACCCUUCAUAGUAUUAUUGGAUGGCAUCAUUUGAUAAUUAAAACUGAGGUGGUAUAGGAUGGGCAUGCGUCUGAUUAGUUAGUUGGCGGGGUAAUGGCCCACCAAGACGAUGAUCAGUAGGGGUUCUGAGAGGAAGAUCCCCCACACUGGCACUGAGAUACGGGCCAGACUCCUACGGGAGGCAGCAGUAGGGAAUAUUGGUCAAUGGAUGCAAGUCUGAACCAGCCAUGCCGCGUGCAGGAAGAAGGCCUUCUGGGUUGUAAACUGCUUUUGCCAGGGGAUAAAAUUUCCAUGCGUGGAAAACUGAAGGUACCUGGUGAAUAAGCCACGGCUAACUACGUGCCAGCAGCCGCGGUAA
rnacentral:rRNA from 1 species